rnacentral:tRNA from 1 species
AUGUCCUUAGUGUAACGGUAGCAUAGUGGUCUCCAAAACCACAGAUGAAGGUUCGAGUCCUUCAGGAAAUG